GCUUCACAUCAUCUAUCACAAUAUGGAUAUGAUCUCUUGAAACCCUCACCUACAAAUACAUUACAAACAGAAAACAAAAUAUCUACAAUCAGAAUAUAAAUUAUCUAUAAAAUAUCUACAAACUGGAUACAUUGAAUUUUAAUAUUUUAUUUUUCUGGACCAAAUAAACAGAUCUUACCCUAAGCUUAUACAACAAUAUUCUGUUGUUCUCCAAUUCUUUGUUGUAUUUUGACUCAAAGUAUAUGAAGGUACCCUUUGCUUUCAAUAACUUUUCAUUAGUCCACCAUUCAAGAAGAGUCCUCAUAUACUCUAAUAAUUCCACUAUUGGUAGCUCUAUUGCCUCUUUUAUUACAAUAUUCAAUGACUCUGCAAUAUUUGAUGUCAUAGUCUAAGUUCUGUUCACUGUUGCAUAUACUCAUAACUAUCUGUGAUAGCCAAUAUCAUAUAAGUAGGAUUUAACACACUGAUCUAUCUCUUCAAUCUUUGCAAUCCUUUCAUUAAAUUCAUCAAAAGUGUAUAAUUGUGCCAUUGCAAAGUACAAUUAGCUUAACUUUAGAUGACCCUCCUUGAAUUUUGCCCUUAUAUGUGUCCAAAUAUGCUACAUGAAAGAAUAAUGUGGCAUGCCGGGAUAAACAAUAUAUGUUGCCUUCAAGUACUCUCAUUGCGAUCUAAAACAACACACAUAUUUGGUUUUUGACCAUGUGCACGUUUGAAUUGCUCAAAAAAUCACUUUCACGAUGUGUCGUUUUCUGAAUCAACAAUAGCAUAUGCCAAUUGUAAUAUUGUACCGACAUUAUGUGUCAAAAAUAAUUAACAUGCAGUCUUGAAAAUACAAAGAGAGACAUAUACAUACAAACUACAAUAUCUACAAAAUAACUACAACUUAUCUAUAUAAUAUAAACAAUCUACAAAAAUCUAUAAUAUAUAUAUAUAUAUAUAUAUAUAUAUAUAUAUAUAUACACAAAAUAUCUAUAUUUUUACCUACUGCAUCCAGUGAGGUUGUUAGCAUUAUUUCCCUAUAUGAUGACUUUAAGAAGGUCCCAUCAACUACUACUAUUGGCCUACAAUAUUUCCAACCACUGAUUGACAUACAAAUCACAACAAAUGCAUAUAAGAAGCAUUCAUUUGUCUUCUUCAAUUUAACUACAAAUUUCGGAUAAGCCUUAUCAAAAAUAUAAAAAUAACUUGGUAAUUUGUUGUAGGAGUCGGUAGGAUGACCUCUCAAAAACUGUAAAGCUUCUUCCUUUGCUCUCCAAGCUUGCAUAUAGGUUAGAUUCACGUUGUGUUCAGACAACAUGUCAUUUUGUAUGUCUUUUUGGUGUGUAAAUUGUCUUAGAAUCAGAAUAUUUUGUAAUAACCAUGCUACCAACUACCAUGGCAGUAGGUUGCAUUGUAUGAAUGUGUUGUCCGUCAAAGAGCAUGUGUGCUGGCUGUUAAAAUUUCUGACCUUGAACAUUGCAGAAUCAUUUAAGCUAGUUGCCUUGAAGUUCCAUGUACAAUUUUCACCAACACAUAACCGCCAGUAUAUACAAAAUAAAUACAAUUUAAACACUAGUUUAAAAUGUAGAUUUAAAAAAUUAUUUUAGCUUAAACGAUCAUAUUAUACAAUUUGUAUACAAAAUAACUGCAAUUCAACAACAAUACUGAUAAACUUUAUCACAAGAAAAAUCGAAGAAGUAAAAAAUUACAAAAUUAAACAAAUAAUGAUCUUUGACCAUUCACAUGUUCAUACCUUCUAACACUAGAUCUUUUACCCCUAAAUUGGAACUUGUGCAUGGCAGAAUAGUACUUUAUUAUAGUUGCAAUUAUUUGCUUGUCUUGGUAUACUUAUCCUACUUCAAUAAAACUUGGUGUACUAUAUGUUAUUAUUAUACUUUUAUAUUCCUCUAUGACGGGAGAUAUUGGCAUAUCAAGUAACUGUAGUGUUCCAGACGAACCUGCUUGAAAAUAAAGAUAAAUAAUGUUAUGAAUAAUUUGUAGAUACUUAUAGAAAUAUUAAAAUUCUGUAUUCAUAUUAAUUUUUCAAAUGAUAUGUAAUUUUAUUGUAGAAUAAAUGUAGAAAUUUUAUAGAUACUAUGAAAAUCCAUAUAUAUAUAUAUAUAUAUAUAUAUAUAUAUAUAUAACAUGUUUAUUUAUAGAUAAAAUGUACGACAUUGAUAUACAACCAGAAUUUGAUUAAAAAAAAUAUAAAAACACAAUCCUGCAACUGUGUUCUCAUUGGUGAUACUCAAUUCCAUAUAGAAAUCGCGAACAGUUAUACAUAGGGGAUAUGAUCCUAAGUUCAUUUUCCUUUUUCGUCUCCAUGUAUACACGAACACCCAUAUCUUCCCUAAUUUCCAUUGGAGGACAAUGCUCGUUGACAAUGUAUUUGAUUUUUAUAAUUUUUUCAGAUGUAUCGAUCAUUAAUUGUUGUGCUAUUGUAGAAAUUAAUAGACUAUAACUCUCAUCCUCAUCAACUACAAUGCCAUCGACCUGAAAUUCUCUAAAUCCUUCAUAGUUAUCCCAAUUCUCAUUCAGUUACGGCAUAAUUGAGAUUUUGGACAUAAUUGCGUUUGUUGCAGAAGAAUUGUAGAAUAUUUAGUCGUUUUUGAUUUGUGAAAUCAGAAAAAAUGUUGAAACAUAGUGUAUUGCAAAAACAGAGUCGUUAAGUUUUGAUUAGAAUAACUUUCAAGAUCAGGAUGAGAAUUACGCGUGUAUGUCAUGUCACCGGAGUUGGCAUAAAAAGAAUUAUAAAAGAAAAAAAAUGACCUAGUCAAAAUUGACUAGAACUAACAGAAAAUAGGAGAUUACAUUAGACAGGUGAUGAAAAGGGUUUGAACAAGACAAGCAAAAUAAACACGUGUUACAACCAUGGAACAAUCCUAAAUAAUAUUAGAAGAGUUACUACAACUAAACGAACUAGACAAAAUGAGAAGAAGAAAAGUUUGAGCCACAAGACAAUAUCUGAUUACAACCCUGAAAUAAUCCGGACAAACAGAAAUGACAACAAAAUAAACUACCAAAACUAUUCCCUGGCUAGCUAAGAGAGGAGUGUCUUUCCAAUUACCAAGCUCGACAUCUUAGCAACUAGAUUGCACAUCAAAAUUACUGGGACCAUCACCAAUUUUAAUAUCAUUAACUUUCGUCAGCAAAUUCCCAAAAAGAUUCUCAUACUCCCUAUCGCCACUCAUUUUCCCCACAAAUUGCACAUCAUCAUGUGCAGGUAAAGGAUUCAAUGCAAUAUUCUGGAUGUCACUGUCCUGGACCACAAUUAUCCCUUCUUGAAUUUUUCUAUCUCUCUUUUCAAAGCACGACAAUAUUCAAUUUUAUGCCCUUGGAAAUUAGAGUGGUACAUGCACCACAAAGUAGGAUCAAAGUCUUUUUCAUAUGGGUAUGGAGUAUAGUCGAGGAGCGGCUCAAUCAUGCCAGAUUGUUUCAACUUUUCAAACAAACUUGUGUAGGAUUCUCCGAUUGGAGUGAAAUAAUUUCUUUGCUUUUAUUCCCCUCUAUGCUCCUGUUUCCUAGGGUUUUUGGGUGGCCGAAGAUGUUGUGAAGGCGAAAGAGUAUUAUGCGGUGUUGGUGCUUAUCAUAAGGAGUGACCCAUUGGUUGAACAAAUGAUUGAACAUUGUUUGGAGGAUAAUGCUGAGAUGGAUCAUGUGGAGCUCGGGGAUAGGUUUGGAGUUGGGGUCGGGAUCGAGGCUGAAAGCAUUUUUGAGUUUGUUCCCCUCUGUGCCCUUGUUUCCUAGGGUUUUUGGGUGCUCAAAAAUGUUGUGAAGGCGAAAGAGUAUUAUGCGGUGCUGGUGCUCUCCAUAAGGAGCGACCCACUGGUUAAACAAACGACUGGGAGGUGUUAGGAGAAUAGUACUGAGGUGGAUUAUGUGGAGCCUGAGGAAGGGUGGGUUGGGUUCGAGGUCGAGUAGGUUGGUAAGGAGGACCCAUUGGGCCAUGUCGCGAUCCUGAGACAACCACGGCGACAUCAUCAUGUUUCUUCUAACCCGGCAAGCUUCCUGUAUCAUUCUGAAUUGCAUGCGUUGUAGCUUUUAAGCAAAAUAGCUCAUGAUCUUGCUUGAGUUGAAUCCCUAUUACACCAUUUAUCCCAUGUUUACUACAUUGUGGAAAGGCUUACGAAUGGCUGAGAUCAAAUGUCUGAAAUAAGUAGGCUCCAGGGCUUGAAGUAAGUAUUCAACCAUCUCAUCUUCUUCCAUCGAAGGAUUGAUCUGUGCAGCUUGCUCCCUCCAUCGAAACUCAUAUCCUCUAAAACAUUCAUUGGGCUUCUUUUCUACCUUGGUCAGGGACAGGCGAUCCGGGACAAUGUCUAUGUUGUAUUGAAAAUGUCGGGCAAAGGCCUGAGCCAUAUCGUCCCAUGUGUACCACCUGAUGGUGUCCUGGUGGAUAUACCAUUCUAAAGUUGCGCCACUGCGAUUCUGGCUGAAGUACGCCAUCAAUAAUCCGUCUUUUUCCCCGGUGCUUCUCAUUUUACUGCAAUAACCUCUUAGAUGGGCUACAGGAUCCCCAUGUCCGUCAUACAAGUAAAACUUGGGCAUCUUGGAUAGCAUGCAGUUGAACAUCAGGGAACAAACAUAUAUCCUUAUAAGCCACACUCACCUAGCUUCUUAACCCUUGCAUAUCUCUCAAUGAUUGCUUCAGACUCUUUACCUUCCUAAAUAUCUCCUCUUGCUCCGCGUUCUUAGGUGAUUUCUCAUUUUCAACAUGAGGCACAAGGUGGGGAGUGUAGGAGUAAGGAUCUGGGAUAUUGAAGGUGGGUUCCGGGGCAUAGUAUUGGGUAUCUGGAGCUGGGAAUGCAUUUAUUGUAGUUGGUGGAGCAUGAAAAGUUUUAGAGGAGGUGCCAGGGUAAUUGUGGUAAGGGGUAAAGUCAGGUGCGUGUUGUGGGGAAAGGUCAACGGUAUGGGCAUCUAGGAUUGGGACAGUGGUGGAAUAAAGACAUGGUUUUCUGUAUAGUUGGUAGGGACUGAAGGUGGAGGAUGCAUCCUGAUCCAAGAUUGAUACAUUUCUGUCAUCUAUUGUUUCAACCUUCAAACCUCCUCUUUCAGUUUCGAUUCUGAUUCUACAAUCUCCCUAGGUGGGUGAAAAAUCCCAAUGUAUGUUUCUUUGCUAGCCUUGACGAACUUGUGCUUUCUGGUGUUGUAUGGACGAAUCACCAAAGUGCCACAAACUAACCACCCUUUGUUAUAAUAGCAAUGAAAGUAACAAAGAGGAGCAAAACAAAUCCAACAUGUUAGCGUUAGAGCAUUUAUCAAAUAGAAAUAUCACAUUGUGUGCGAUGCCCCUAGUCACAGUUAACGGUUCUAGAAUGGCUUCGAGGGUACGAAGGUCGCAUGGCAUCAUCCCAAUUUCACUCUUCUUGCCCCAUUUCCUUCUUCAUUUUCCUUUCUAACACCACUUGGUUUUUUUCGUUUCUUUCCCGCUCUUUUCUUUCCUCUUAUUUUUCACAUCCAUAAUUUCAUCUCCUUUUUUUUUGUUUUUUUUCUUUUAUUAAAAGAUGCUUCGAUCGAACCCUAUGUAGGUUGCCUACGUAUCAUGUCCCUCAUGAAUCGAAUCAAGCGUAGUUCUGGAAAAAUAAUGGACAAAAUAAACUAAGAAACAAAAUCUUUUGGGAUUUUUCAUUUAAUAAUGUAUUGUUUUUUGGAUUUUCAAAUACAAAAUAAGAAGUACGAUAAUGAGAGACCCGGCAAACUAAAUAUACUGUGACAACUCUAACACCAACUAAAUGAUUGAAUACUACUAUACAAGACAAGUAAUAGAAAACAUGAAAACAUACUCAAACUAUAAAAUGGCUCCUUAAGCAGCUCCUGAAUGUAGUGGUCCUGGAGUAUCCGUUACGCUCGAGCUAUGGUAAAUAAAUUCAUACCUGGAUGAGAAAAAUAAGACCAAAUAUAUUAGUGAAUCAUAAUACUAUGCGACACCACAACACCUCUUGUUGGACACAUGCGAGACACGAUUGGGCCAUUUUUGAAAAUUAACCUACGUAGCCAAGAGUGGUUGCAAGUGCAAAAUCAACAAGGGUGACUACUUAGAUAUGAAAAUACCUUACUAACGCUUAUAUGGAUUCAACUCCCAAUAAUCAUGGCCCAACAAGUUAAUUUACAUAAAUGAUCCAUUUCACAAAAACGCUCGAUAUGGCCAGAAGUGGAUAACGAUGCAAAUUCAAAAAGGACGGACCUUAAAGUAAUAUGAUACCUAGUUGUGAACUUAAUAUCCUAAGAUAUAGGUAAUUGAACUACUUUUACGAAAAUAAUCCCAUUUUGUAAGAAUGGCCAAUGUGGCCAAAAGUGGCUAUACAUGUAAGAUUUGGCUAAGAUCCCGCAAAGUCAAGGAUCUAAGACUCACUAGGAAGACCGGACCCUAUAUGAGUUACCUAUGUAUCUCGCCCCGAGAAACGAGAAUCAGGUUCGCAUAGUUCGAGAAGAUUGGACAUCGAAGAAAGACUUUUAAAAAAAUGCAACUAAUUUAGAAAAACCAUAUUUUUAUAUUUUUGAGAAAUGAUGGAAAAUGUUAAAAAAAAAUUGGAUUUUAUAUUUUCAUUUUUUUUUAAUUUUUAAAAAAUGAUGGAAAAGUGAAAAAUCUUUUGGAUUUUUUUUUUAUUUUUUUCAUUUUUUGAAAACUAUGAAAGAAAAAUGCGAGUGUGCCCUACUUGCUUUAUUUUUCAUCCCUUUUUUCCAAACACCGGUCCGCCAAAUAACCUUUUUACCCUCAAAGAUGUAAUAUUUAAAACAUAUAAUGGUUAAAUAUCAUUUUGGGCCAUGGGUCCAUUUUGACACAAUUUGGACAGGCUAUGUAUAAAGGGACACGGUACCUCGGACCGAACCCUGCUAGGUUUAAAUGAUAUGAUGCACAUAAGCAUGACCUAAAGGCUAAUCUACAGUUGGGGUUCACUAGACAAGGCAAUUCGGGGCGGCACGUGGUCGAUGGCGGUUGCUCUAGCUGUCCGCCCAUUCCACGCUCCCACGCCACCCCCUAUAGACACAUGUGACUCACAAAAAGGCCGUGUACGCUCAAACGUACUCCGGAAGACUUGUUGCAGAAUGAGACCCAUGAUUAUGCAAAUGAUGAUAAUUUAUAAAGCAGUAAGAAAAAUUGUAAACAAAUAAGUAACUAGCAAAUAAUAAAAGACAUAAACAAAAUCAAAAUCAAAAUAAGCAAACAAAAGAUAAAAACCUCAACCUAAUAUCCUAAAAGCCAACAAGAUCAAAUACCAGCUUGAACCGACAACUCCUCAGCAGACUCACAUCAACAAAUACAUGCAAACUCACAUCAACAAAUACAUUUUGGGGAGUAAGCAAGGAGACUAAUUCAUGUAGGAAUUUAUCAAAUGAUUUCCAAGAUAAUAGACAAACUAACACAAAUAAACAUAUCUCAGAAUUUGAAUGAAGUAGGAACCAAAAUUAUAUCCAUAUAGGAAGAGGAAAAGAAAUGGACCUCAAUAAUUGAUGCCUCUGUAGUAGACGAGAACUCGAUUACAAUAAACUCCAACGAGUUGAAUCUGACUGAAAAAUGAAAAUAUGGACUGAACCUACACCUCGGACGGUGGCUUCUUAAGCGAACACCACGAUUUGAACACCAAAAUUCCGGAAUUCAAAUUGAAGAUGAAACAUAUAUUUUUGUAUUUUCUGAGAUUUAAAUUCAGCUUAAAAACUAAACAAGGGCCUAAAAAUGAAAGAAGAACCUGAGUUCUUUAUUUUCUUUUGCGACCAUCGGUUGCUGGUGGUUGACGUCCGUGAUUGCUUCAAGUGGCUGAAGAACAUGGUAGAGUCGGGGAUGUUGAUGGGCGUGUUGAGAGUGGUCUUCGUUUGAGUGAGGUGAAGAAGCAGGUCGCGGUUGUUUGUGUUAGGGUGUGUUCAGAGGAAGUUCAAGUGGUCUCUUGGCUGUCGUUUUUUGGCGCGCUGCUGUGGGCGGAGCGGCGGCAGAACUGGAGUAAGGGAGGAGGCGAUAGAGGCAAGUUUCUUUGGCGGAGAUUAGGGACAGCAGCGGCUAGUUAGUUCAAGGUGAAGGGAGCGUAGGGUUUUUUUAUUGUCCCUUGUCUUGUUCAAGAAGAAGUAGCUGCAGCCAUGGGUGUUCUCUCUAACCUUAGCUUUCUAAGGUUUUUCUUAGGUUACGAAGAAGGAACAAGAAAAAGUUUUGUUAGGCUCAAAUCUUAUGGACUGGA
rnacentral:lncRNA from 1 species